UACGAAGGGUGCAAACGUUGCUCGGAAUCAUUGGGCGUAAAGCGCACGUAGGCGGCCUCAUAAGUCGGAUGUGAAAUCCCUCGGCUCAACCGAGGAAGUGCAUCCGAAACUGCGAGGCUCGAGUAUGGAAGAGGGUCGCAGAAUUCCCGGUGUAGAGGUGAAAUUCGUAGACAUCGGGAGGAAUACCAGUGGCGAAGGCGGCGACCUGGGCCAAUACUGACGCUGAGGUGCGAAAGCGUGGGGAGCAAACAGG
rnacentral:rRNA from 1 species